ACGAGAUAUAACAAUGGCUUUAGUGGCGGACUGGUGAGUAACACGUAAGAAACCUGCCUAUUAGAGGGGGACAACAGUUGGAAACGACUGCUAAUACCGCAUGACGCAUAGGGGUCGCAUGAUUCUUAUGCCAAAGAUUUAUCGCUUCAAGAUGGCCUCGCGUCUGAUUAGCUUGUUGGCGGGGUAACGGCCCACCAAGGCGACGAUCAGUAGCCGGACUGAGAGGUUGAACGGCCACAUUGGGACUGAGAUACGGCCCAGACUCC
rnacentral:rRNA from 1 species